rnacentral:tRNA from 2 species
UGGUAUAUCGCCAAAUUGGUAAGGCGUUAGCUUUUGACGCUAUAACUUUAUAGGUUCGAGUCCUUUUGUACCAG